rnacentral:lncRNA from 13 species
UUUUCUGCAAAAAUUAAAAUAAAAUUAAGAAUAGUAUCAUCAAUAAAAAUAUAUGAUUAAUUCGUGCAAAACAACCCUACCUAUUGUAUUAUUGAACUGGCAUCAGAGGUGUCAGACUCAUCAGAGGAGAGUUUUUUAGCUUUUUUUGGCCGUUUGGAUGGUUCAUCAAAUGCAGCACGCACAGCAUCAGUAUCAGCAUCCGAUGAGAUAUCUGCUGAUUUCUUCUCGAUUUUCUGAGCUUCUUGGAAAGAAUCUGUCAAACAUAAUGUAACACUGUAACUCACCAAAUGGGCCAAUCAACUGUUUGUAUGGAGUUAGACUUCAUGUAUCGUUGGGCUGUAUUUCCUUUGAUAUUGCUGUGGUGACAGCGAUACCUUUCGGUGGCC